UAUUGAGGUUAACUUCAUGAGUUAUGGGGAAAAGCUCUCUAAGUAAGACAGAGUAUUUGAAUCUAUUCUAGGCAGUGAUUUCUGUCAUAGUCUUUCAUAGUCCCACAACGGGGAAAGUUCAUCUCAUAACAGCACAGAGUAUGAUACAGGAGAAGAAAAAUAUAGCAGCAUAGCAGCAAGUAAAAAUACAGAACAGACCAAUGAAACUGAAAUGUCUUUCCUAAUAGUAAUAAUUUUAUUAGUAAAGAAGUUCAUGAAGUCAUUGCUGCUGAGAUUAAAGGGGAUAGUAGGCUCAACACAGCUAUAACUCUUAGUCAGCCUGGCUACAGAGCUCAUAAGAAAUCUGGGGUUUUGUUUUGUUUUUCUCAGUUAAUGUCAGGUUCUGGCUCUGUGUUUCAGUUUUACCUUGUAAAGGACUCUGUUCAUUUGGCCACAUUAUCAUGUCUUGGGUUUUCUAGUUUCCAUUUCCGGUUUUAUUUUGGUAGUCUCCCAGGUUUCUGUUUCAGUUCGAGCUUCACUUCCGGUUUAUGUCACGUCACAGCUGUUCUUGCUUCACCCGGUCAUUAUUCACACCUGCACGUCAUCAGUAAUCGAGUCACGUUGUAUUUAACCACCACCUGUGUCCUCAGUUCCCCGCCAGAUCGUUGUUUUGUGUGUUCCUGUCGUAGUCCCGUUCGUUGAUCUAGUCCUGCUGUAAAUCGUGUAUCCUGUGUUGUUCGUUGACUCUGAGCCUGCCUUAUUCCUGCCUGUCACGUCUGCCUGGAUCAUCUACCGUUGCCUGUUACUGACUUUGCCUGCCUGACCACGCUUCUCCGCCUGAGGACUCUGUAUUGUUACUCCUGUCUUUCGUGAAUGACUCUGCCUGAACUGACCUCGCCUAAUCUGGAAUAAACCACCCUUGAUCACCGUCAACCUGUGUACGCUGUGCAUUUGGGUCCUCAUCAGAGCGUUCCCUGACAGUUAAGAAGGAAUAAUAUGGUUUUCUAGCUUGUUAUAUAUCAUUAGACUGUCCUUCCAUGCUAUGCAGUUUAUAUUUAUUUUGUUAAAACGCCACUGCCUUUCUAGUUGUUGGAUCCUGUACUUUAGGUUGCGGAUCUCUGAGUUAUACCAUGGAACUAACCUCCUCUGAUUCACUUGCAGAGAAGCUGAAGCAUCAUCUACAAGAGAUUCAACCUGUUCAUAAGGAUUAAGGUGACUGUUCUCCUCUGAGUAGCUACCAGACGAUGAGGCAAAAGAUGAUGGAAACAUCUGCUUGAAUCUGGCAACAGCAUUGUCAGAUAAUGAUCUGCUAUAGUAACAUUUCUUUCCAGCUGCUGAAAGGUCAAUUAUGCUAAAUGGUAAAUUCAAAAGUUAAUAAGAAAUGGUCAGAUAACAGCGCGUUUUGGGGAAGAACUAUUAAAUUAUGAAUUUGAACUCCAUAUGUUAGGAUGGGUAUGGUUAAAACAAUGAGUGGGUUCAUUUACAUGCAUUUUAAAAGCAGUGCUGAGACAAUCAUUGUCAACAUCUUCAUGCAUGUUAUCCCUUAUGCCCUCCUCCAAAAAACCUCCUUUGGAGACCCUUGUGGCAUUUGGCCAUGCUUGUGAAAAAUGCUAUAAAAUCAUCAUAUAUUAAUAUUUUUUUAACUUUUUUUUGUAAAUCACUUAGACAACUUCACACCUGCCCUGAAGUACCAAUCAUGCAAUUACUUUCAGGGUUUAAAUGCCAGUUACUAUUAGAAGUACUGCUUAUUUUUUUUAUCACACAACUUUUUUUUCUAUACAAUAAGUAGUAGGAGGAUGGGGUUAUGAUAUUGCCCUAUCAUAUUUAGGAUUUCUGCAUAGAAAUUGUUACGUAGCUCCAAGUAAAUUUCACGUGGUACAAAAGUUGAAGCUGUGGUUUAACAGAACAGGGGGUGUUCCAGAAAGCAGGGUUAAGUAACCAUCUGCUAAACCCUUAACUCUCAGUUCAUUAACCCCAAACCUGUUCACCCUAUGUAGGUUACCCUAGUAUGUAGGUUCCAAAACAUCUGAGAAGAGUUUAGAUGAGGUUAAAGGUGCACAUGCAAAAUUACUACAUUUAUAUGACUCCCAAAACAAAAGCCACCCCCCCAGACACUUCAGGGGCCCGUUUCAAGAAGGAGGUUUAACAAAGUCUGAGUUUAAACUAAACUCUGAGUUGAUUUACUUUGAGUUUGCAAAACUGGAGUUUUCAGUUUCAGAACAGGUGAUAAGAGUUGGUUUAAGCAACUCUGAGUUGUCUGACUCAGAGUUAAGCGCAUGCACCGCGACGAUACAAAGCCCUGAUCAAUGGAGUGAAGAUAUUACGAGUCACCAUGGCAACAGGACAACAAAAGACGUCCGGAAAUGGAUAUGAUACCUCAAGCAAAUAGCUACUACGAGUCUUUAUUCCGUAGAAAAAGCAACACGCUGCAGCGGCGAAAGAGAAAGAAUUAGCUUGGAAGAAAAUAGCUCCUCGAGUCAAUGCUUACAUUUCAAAGUUUACAUUUUAAUCAUAAAGUGUUCAGCGUAACUAAUUACUAAAUAAAUUUAGUAUUGUUGUUAUAUUUCACUCGUAAAGUAAGGACUUUUAAAGCAAUUGUUCACUCAUCUAAGAAGUUUCUUCAGUAAUUGCAUAAAUACCGAUGAUUGUAUGAAUUAAAAGUGCAGUGUUAUGUCUAUGCAUUUUUAAAAUUCCUGUUGUGGUUGAUGUGAGAUUUGUAAAGUAAUGAUAAUUCAAUAAUCCAAUACAUUUUAUGGAGAGCAAUUAUUACAUUAAUCUAAUUAGGUUUUUAAAAGUUACCCAAAACACGUAAUAAUAUAAUAAAUUAAUUUCAGUUUUUAUGUAGACGCAAUCCUGCAGUCAUAAAAGAACAUGGCUAAAAAUGAAAUGUAAUAACAUAAUUCAAACAGGUAUAAGGCACCAUCAUGUCAUGGGUGUAGACUACCUGACUUUACAAUAUUUGACAUAUUAAAUAACUAAAUAGCAUGCAGAGUAUAGCAGUGCAGCAGCAUUUUCAACAUGGCUGUAAUGUUUUCACACAGUUUAUAUCAUUUGACUUCUACUCUGCCAACAGAAGGCAGAGGCUAGAACAACUGGUGGAGGACCUGCACCACCACCACUGACGCAUGCAGAGGAGAAGGCCCUCAGCAUGAACACUGGAAAGCAGAGGCUGAAGGAAUUCCUGGAGGGAGUUCAUCAGAACCAGUCGCUCCCAGGAUACAAGUGCAUGUGUAAAAUAUUCUGAUGGUAAUAUGUGAAUCCCUCUGUCAUAACUGAAACCCAGGAUGUUGCUAAGGAUGUAACUUGAUCUCCAAGUAUAGUGACAUUAUUAUCUCCCCUCUGCCCCAGAGUGUGGAAGAACAGCAGGAGGAGGUCAGUCACAUUCUGCUGCACAGAUGCACACAGUUCAGUGAUGUUCAGUAAAUGCCAGAGUUCAAUUCUGUAAGACUAAUGAGGAACUAUGUCAUGUAACUCUAAAUCGUCUGUAUUUUAAGUUACUGGUUAUUGAGUUGUAUAAACUAAAUUUCAAGGAAAUGGUUUACUUGUACCACAAGAUUGAAAAGACAGAUCUACAAAUUGAAAUUCCCAAACACAAGCUGGAGGUGAGUGUAUAGUUAAAGGUGAAUUGUAUGAAUUAUUGGAAGAAUCGUAAAAUCUAACAAUUGCCUUUGUACUGUAUUUGUAGGAAAUGAA